rnacentral:rRNA from 1 species
UACGAAGGGGGCUAGCGUUGCUCGGAAUCACUGGGCGUAAAGCGCACGUAGGCGGACUCUUAAGUCGGUGGUGAAAUCCCAAGGCUCAACCUUGGAACUGCCUUUGAUACUGGGGAUCUCGAGUCCGGAAGAGGUGAGUGGAACUGCGAGUGUAGAGGUGAAAUUCGUAGAUAUUCGCAAGAACACCAGUGGCGAAGGCGGCUCACUGGUCCGGUACUGACGCUGAGGUGCGAAAGCGUGGGGAGCAAACAGGG